GGGGGUGACACGGCAUCGAUGCGGGAGGCUGAUGUCACGUGGCAAGUCGUGGCGCCUGACCACGUUAAUACGGGCUAACACUAUUAAGUGCCAACACAAACAACACAGCUUACGCUUACGCCGCUUAAGGCGUGAAACUAAGUCGCUAGCCCAUAGAGGUUAGCCGUUUGCCCUAACCGUCUUCGUCCGGGUAGAUCGGCAGGCGUCAUAAAAGACGAGGUGCGCGUUUGCUUACGCCGAUAAGGCAGCGCAAAGAACUUUUCGGCUGGCUAGUAGGCAUACCACGUCAGACGGGGCUACCUGCGGCGAGAUUAAACAUCUGACUAAACUUGUAGAAGCGGGAUGUCGAUUUUCGUAGACUUGGGUUCAAUUCCCAACACCUCCACUC
rnacentral:tmRNA from 1 species